AGACCCGAAACCCGGUGAUCUAGCCAUGGGCAGGUUGAAGGUUGGGUAACACUAACUGGAGGACCGAACCGACUAAUGUUGAAAAAUUAGCGGAUGACUUGUGGCUGGGGGUGAAAGGCCAAUCAAACCGGGAGAUAGCUGGUUCUCCCCGAAAGCUAUUUAGGUAGCGCCUCGUGAAUUCAUCUCCGGGGGUAGAGCACUGUUUCGGCAAGGGGGUCAUCCCGACUUACCAACCCGAUGCAAACUGCGAAUACCGGAGAAUGUUAUCACGGGAGACACACGGCGGGUGCUAACGUCCGUCGUGAAGAGGGAAACAACCCAGACCGCCAGCUAAGGUCCCAAAGUCAUGGUUAAGUGGGAAACGAUGUGGGAAGGCCCAGACAGCCAGGAUGUUGGCUUAGAAGCAGCCAUCAUUUAAAGAAAGCGUAAUAGCUCACUGGUCGAGUCGGCCUGCGCGGAAGAUGUAACGGGGCUAAACAAUGCACCGAAGCUGCGGCAGCGACACUGUG
rnacentral:rRNA from 1 species